rnacentral:rRNA from 1 species
GGAGGGUGCAAGCGUUAUCCGGAAUCACUGGGUUUAAAGGGUGCGUAGGCGGUGGCGUAAGUCAGUUGUGAAAUUCCCCGGCUUAACCGGCGGGACUGCGAUUGAUACUGCGUUACUUGAAUCAGGUUGAGGUAGGCGGAAUGUGACAUGUAGCGGUGAAAUGCUUAGAUAUGUCAUAGAACACCGAUUGCGAAGGCAGCUUGCUGGACCUGUAUUGACGCUGAGGCACGAAAGCGUGGGGAGCAAACAGGAUUAGAUACCCUGGUAGUCCACGCCCUAAACGAUGUUUACUUGCUGUUCGGCCCUUGAGGCGGAGUGGCGAAGCGAAAGCGCUAAGUAAACCACCUGGGGAGUACGCCGGCAACGGUGAA